rnacentral:rRNA from 1 species
AGAGUUUGAUCAUGGCUCAGAUUGAACGCUGGCGGAAUGCUUUACACAUGCAAGUCGAGCGGCAGCGCGGGGCAACCUGGCGGCGAGCGGCGAACGGGUGAGUAAUGCAUCGGAACAUGUCCAUGUCGUGGGGGAUAGCCCGGCGAAAGCCGGAUUAAUACCGCAUACGCCCGAGAGGGGAAAGCGGGGGACCGCAAGGCCUCGCGCGAUUGGGUUGGCCGAUGUCCGAUUAGCUUGUUGGUGAGGUAAAGGCUUACCAAGGCGAUGAUCGGUAGCUGGUCUGAGAGGAUGAUCAGCCACACUGGGACUGAGACACGGCCCAGACUCCUACGGGAGGCAGCAGUGGGGAAUUUUGGACAAUGGGGGAAACCCUGAUCCAGCCAUUCCGCGUGAGUGAAGAAGGCCUUCGGGUUGUAAAGCUCUUUUGUCCGGAGCGAAACGGUUACGGUGAAUAUCCGUGACUACUGACGGUACCGGAAGAAUAAGCACCGGCUAACUACGUGCCAGCAGCCGCGGUAAUACGUAGGGUGCGAGCGUUAAUCGGAAUUACUGGGCGUAAAGCGUGCGCAGGCGGUUUUGUAAGCCAGACGUGAAAUCCCCGGGCUCAACCUGGGAAUGGCAUUUGGGACUGCAAGGCUUGAGUAUGGCAGAGGGGGCUAGAAUUCCUGGUGUAGCAGUGAAAUGCGUAGAUAUCAGGAGGAAUACCGAUGGCGAAGGC